GCCAAAACUGGAAACAAAUCCUCCAUUUAUCUACAAAACAGGUGUAGCAUGGGCAGUGGAAAAGGAAACUUCCCCACAGCACCCUACUAAUAUGCCUUAACCUUAACUGAGAGGGACCACUUUUAGAGCUCAGUGCGUAGUUAGUUAAUCUUUGUCUUUUUGGCUGAG
ensembl:misc_RNA